rnacentral:rRNA from 1 species
UGGGGGAUAUUGCACAAUGGGCGAAAGCCUGAUGCAGCGACGCCGCGUGGGGGAUGAAGGCCUUCGGGUUGUAAACUUCUUUUGCUCUGAACAAGGCAUGCCUUUGGGGUGUGUUGAGUGUAGGGGUUGAUUAGCGCCGGCUAACUACGUGCCAGCAGCCGCGGUACUACGUAGGGCGCGAGCGUUGUCCGGAAUUAUUGGGCGUAAAGGGCUUGUAGGUGGCUGGUUGCGUCUGUCGUGAAAGCUCAUGGCUUAACUGUGGGUUUGCGGUGGGUACGGGCUGGCUUGAGUGCAGUAGGGGAGGCUGGAAUUCCUGGUGUAGCGGUGGAAUGCGCAGAUAUCAGGAGGAAUACCGGUGGCGAAGGCGGGUCUCUGGGCUGUUACUGACGCUGAGGAGCGAAAGCGUGGGGAGCGAACAGG